rnacentral:tRNA from 1 species
GCCCGUGUGAUGUAGUGGUUUGAUUGUUGGACUACGACUCUAGAGACCAGGGUUUGAUUCCCAGCUUGGCCA